CCCACUGAGAGGACAUUACUGAACAUUUCUGCUGUCUCCAAGAUGCCUCUUUUCCACAGGACUCCGAGGAAAGGCUGCUGAUCCUGUUUCCAGAAGAUCUGCUUUUCCUCUCUGUGGAUAAGGACAGAACUGCCAUCACAUACAAGGUAACAGAGCAAACACUGCAAAUGGUCAAAUAAGUGAAGAACCAAAAGGAGCUGGAGUUAGUGAGCAGCACUGGGGGAUGAAAACAUCUGAAUAGCAAGGAGAAAAGGGAGAAGCUGAAGGAAAAGCACCCUUUUUUCUUCUCUUUGAAGGGAAAACUCCCCCUAACUGGAAUCCAGGCAAAGGAGAAAUCUGCUGUGCUGGGGAGGUUACAGUUUGAAAUUACAGGAAGCCUGACAGAACCAAUUCUUAUCACCUGUUCCACAGCAGAGGACUAUGAAAAAUGCCUCUUCUACUUACAGAAGCCAGAGAAAACCCUUGAUCCUCAGACUCUCCAGCCACCACCAAUCAUCCCUAAGAAAUCCCGGCAGCAUCAGCAGGACAUUAGCCUGCAGCGACAAGGAAAGGUGUGCUGAAUACGAACCCAACAGAAAGCGAAGAAGGUGCAAGAAUGAGUGAGAAUAGACUGGAAAUGGGAAACUAAGCUUCUUUCAGACUGAGAGGUCAAUAAGAGUCCACACACGAACUGUUCCCCACUGGCCACCAUUCUGAAUGCACACCACUGCACUCGUGAUUGGAUCUCGUGAUUCUGACCUCAAGUUGUACAUAUGACUCAAGGAGAAAUCUUUCUCCAUUUUCUUCCUGUAUUUAUUGCCUGAUUCUUAUCAGAAAAAGAAC
rnacentral:lncRNA from 1 species